GGAAAUAAAGGCCUCAUAAGGAUUGAAUUUGUGACCACAGACAACCCAGGUUGAUUCGCAAGUCAGUGUGCACUGAGUAGAGACAACCUACAGAACCACACGAGCCCACCCAAUGCCUUGGUUCUGUGUGAGCCACCCCAGAAUUCACAGGUAACAGCAUAUGGACAGGGAAAGUUCCUGAACUGGCUGCAUAAGGGCUUGAAAUAGAAUUUUAAUUGCAUCAUAAAGUUAAAUUUCUUGCAUACUGAAUCUCCAGCCUGAUAUAAGAAGCCAUCACAGCUGGGCAUGGUGGCCUGUAGUCCUAGUUACUCAGGAGGCUGAGAUAGGAGGAUCACUUGAGCCAAUGAGGUUGAGGCUGCAGUGAGCUAUGAUUGCACCACAGCACUCCAGCCUGGGUGACAGGGCAAGAUCCCAUCUCUAAAAAAGAAAAAAAUAAUAAAAAAUUAAAAAGAAGCCAGUAUUACAUUCCUUUCAGCUCUAAGCUACCCUAAUGCUUGGAGCCUUCAUAGUAACAUUCCAUGGUAAUUUUUUCACAUGUAUGAGAUUUUCCAUCAUAAGUGACUACAAUUAGCAUAUCUGGGUGAUGUGUAUGUGUUGGUUCCUUGUUUUACCUGGAACAGAAGGAAGGAAUUGGCUGCCAGAUAUUUGAAAAUUUGUUGUUGGAAAUGGCAGCACUGCAUGUAAGAGGAGCUUUUUCAAAUGAAUCAGUAGAUAAAAGGUGGAAGCUUGGCUCUUCCAGCCAAGCUCCCUUCAACAAGAGGAAUGAAAAUUGUAGUUCAAUGCCUGCUGCUCACUUAUCUCGUGUCUCAUAUCUUACUGCAACUUCCAGAAUGAAAAGACCCUGCCACAAUGAGGGGCUGAGUAAUUAAUUGCCUGAAACACAUGGGUAGUCUGAAAUUUGAGAUUCUUAUAAAGGUGUGACUCACAGCUUUCUUAGAAAAAGAGAACAAAUAUCCAUUGCACCAGGAACAGGGAAAUUUCCCUCCCAUCUUCUUCUCUUUCCUAUUAGGAUCUCAUUCUGUAGCCCAGGAUGAAGAGCAGUGGCAUAAUCAUAGCCCACUUCAGCUUUGACCUCUCAGUCUCAAGUGAUAGUCCCCCCACAGCCUCCUGAGUAGCUGGGACCACAGGCAUGCACCACCAUACCCAGGUAAUUUUUUAAUUUUUUGGUAGAAACAGGAUCUCAUUAUGCUGCCCAGGCUAGCCUUGAACUCCUCGCCUCAAGCAAUCCUCCCACCUUGGCCUCUCAAAGAGCUGGGAUCCAACUGGAUUUUGGAGAUAAAUCCCUGAGGAAAAAAACUGGGCUUGGCUCCCCAGAACACCUGGAUUUUAGUAUCUGAAAAUUAAAGUUAAUUGGAAAAACAUAAUUCCGACUUAAUAUAGCUUUAACCUGCUGAUCUCAAUGUACUAUGAUUACUCCCAGUGUUAAUUUUAAGUUUGAAAUAUAGUCUCAUGUAAGAGGUGACUCACAUAGAAUCUCAUCUCUUCAUCUUAAUAAUUCUACUGCAGAUAAAUGUUCUCUGGGCUAUUAAGGCAAAUCCUUGUAAUCCUGGGAAUGUGGUCCUUAGGCAACUAACCUCUUGAUGGAAGAAAAAAACAAAAAACAAAAAACAAAAAAAACCAGUCCUGGUCUUCAUCACUUUUCUGUACUUUACUAAGCUUGGGUUUGGGUAGUUUCCAGUUUUCUAGUGUCCAGAGAGAAUUCAUCUGCCUAUAAGACUUCUGAAUAUUCUUAUUUUCCUCGCAUUUCUGUGUGGACUGUCUCAGUGUUAGCUUUUCCUCUUGCUUGCUCCUGCUCUCUCUCUUCCCUCACACCCCACACCCCUUCACCCUGGGAAUUAAAGGCAUGUACUCUGCAGUCUCAGUAACACCAGCUUUUAAGUGAGACCACAGUACAAAAUAAUAAAUGAGAUUUUAAACAGUGUUUGAAGUGGGUGCGAGCCAUGUUGUACAUUUCAAGACCAAUAUUCUUGCAGAAGCCACUGUGGAAGAUGACGAAAGGAAAAUGAAUCACAGAUGAGGAAGAAACAAAAACAAAUGAAAUAAAGAAAACGAACGGACACAGACUUUAGGAAUGAUGUUUGAUUCCUAAUUAGGCUUGAUAUUACCAUGUUUGGUUACUGGUGUGUUUUCAUUCAUGUCUUUUGACCUGCUUAAAAAAGGAAAGAGGUCACUUCAAGGGAUCCACAUUUCAAUUUCAGUGUGUGGCACAAUUACUCUAUACUAAGAGUCUACUAGCCGUCAUUCCCACAGUAAGGCCUGGCUUGUUCGUACACUGGGUGCAUCUCUGAUCUAAUUUUAUUAUGGAUGACAGCAUGACAUUCAUUUCCACCACAUUCUACACCGCUCCAAUUCUGAACUUGGCAUGUAAUAGCCAUAAAAUAACAUGAGUAAAGAAGGGGACUCCUGCACAGAACUCUGGAAACCAAUGCCCAAUUUACGAGUCCAAGCAUGCAUGACUACUGUAAACCAGAAUGGUACUAAAACCAAUAGAUAUAUGAGAAGAAAAUGAAUAGUUACGUAAAGGUUUAUUGUAGACACUGGUUCAUUUUCAUAAUUUUAGGUUGAAUAUACCCAGCUGAUGAAAGCUUUGAAAAACUGAGUAUAAUUCCUUAUUAAAAUUAAAAGCACAACCUGUUUUUUUUGUUUGUUUGUUUUUUUGUUUUUUUUUUUUUUUGAGACAGAGUCUUGCUCUGUUGCCUAGGCUGGAGUGCAGUGGCAUGAUCUAGGAUCACUGCAGCCUCUGCCUCCUGGGUUCAAGCGAUUCUCCUGCCUCAUCCUUCGAAAUAGCUGGGAUAACAGGCUUGUGUCACCAUGCCUGGCUAAUUUUUGUAUUUUUAGUAGAGACGGGGUUUCACCAUGUUACUCAGGCUGGUCUCAAACUCCUGACCUCAGUGAUCCACUCGCCUCCGUCUUCGAAAUUGCUGGGAUUACAGGCGUGAGCCACCAUGCCCAGCCGACCUGUUAUUUUUGAAAGAAAGCUAACUUUAGGGAACUCAGUAUUUGCAUGGCACCAAAUUAUCACCCCAGGAUGACUAGCGAAUUGACAAAGGGAAAAUAUAUCUUAAUAGUAAAGAGAAUUGUGGUUGCCAUUACCUUAAUUUGGGAAUCAAACUUGGCAUCACUAAUAGUGAGAAAACCAGGCUCAAUGUGAUCCUGAUGCCAUGCACUAUGUUUUUAAAAUUUUUAUUAAAAAUUUUUUUUGUGAGAGAGCCUCUCGGUCUGUCACCCAGGUUGGAGGGCAGUGGCAUGAUCACAGCUCACUACAGCCUCCAACUCCUGGGCUCAAGCAUGAUCCUCUCAUCUCAGUUUCUUGAGUAGCUGAGACUACAGGUGUGAGCCACCAUGCCUGGCUGCUGCCAUGCAGUAUGAAGGAGAUAGCCUCAUCUAUGAGUAUUCUUCAAAAUGUGUAACCUGAAUCAAGUCAAGACUUUAGGUGUGUAGGCUAUACAGAGGAUGGAGGAACAAGUUAAGCCACUUUAAAGAAAGAAUCAAAAAGUCUAGAACUGGGGCCUUCUAUAAGACAGGCUUAGUACAGUACAAAAAAGUGAUGAAGACCAGGACUGGUUUUUUUUGUUUGUUUGUUUUGUUUUUUUUUAAGGCCUGGCCUUUUAAAAAAGUCAAUAGCAUGAGAAAAGGGGAAACAGGGCUGGGCUCUGGAUUAAAAAAGAUGGACGACAUGACAAUUGUCACAUGUGUUCCUUGAUUAGAUUCAAAAUUGGAAAAAAACUCUACAUAUACUGAGUUGAUCAUUAUACAAUUCUACAUGCAUUGAAACAUCACACUGUACUCCAUAAGAAUGUGCAAUUAUUAUGUAGCAAUUAUAAAUAAAAAUUAAUUUUAAAACAGUAUGUUCUUAAAAACCCUAUAAAACCAUGAUAAUCAUUUGAAUAUGGACUGCGUAUUAUAUGAUAUUAAGGAAUUACUGUGAAUUUAUUAAGUGGCAUAUAUUGGUAUUUGGUUAUGUUAAAAAGGUGUCCUCAUUUUUUUUUAAAUGUAUGCUGAAGUACUGGAGGGUGAUUGAUUUUAAAAUGGUCUAGCAACCACAAAAAAACAGAUGAAGCAAAGAUGGCAAAAUAAUAACAAUUAUUAAUUAAAUGUAUUGGGUUAUGGGUAUGCAUUGUAUUAUUUUUUCUAUUUCUCUGCAUGUUUGAACAUUUUUAUGAUAAAAAGGUAAGGAAAAAAACCUUAGCUUUUAUUAGUUGCUAAUGAAAAUCAGGUGUUUCAAAACUAAUUAGUUUUUCUCUAUCCAUUUGGACCAGAUCACCCUUCCAAAUGAGCAAAAAAUUUAAAAAUAAAAUAACAUACUGAUAAUUUUUAAAAAUUAAGCACAGGUGCAGCCCUCAAGUGUCAACAACAGCAACAAAAUGGCAAUAAUUUAAACCACAUCAAUUUCCCUUUAAUUAUCUUUAUCUUAUGAGAUACAAACAAAAAUUUGCAGUGGUAACAGUGUCUGGUGUUUAUGUUUAAAUCCAUAUAAAUUGGUUACUUGCUGUUCAUAUCAGUGAAUGGUUUAAAGUGAAAACAACCCUGGUAAUCACAAAUUAUCUGUUGUAAUCAACUUUUCCACGUGAGUUAAUUGAAGCAUAGUGAGUACCAAUAAGUAAAAAGAAAGCUAGGCUUAGGGAACAGUUCACAAUUUAUAAAUAAUUAUGCCACUUAGCAAAUUAGUAAAGUAAUUUACUCCUCACAUCUACAAACCCUUGAACAACACAGGUUUGAACUGCGAGGGUCCGCUUAUAUGUGGAUUUUUUUCAGUAAAAGUUACAUUAAGUGUGUCUGGCUCUCCUGCCUCCCCCUCCACAUCCUCCACCUCUUCCGCCUCUGCCACCCCUGAGACAGCAAGACCAACCCCUCUUCCUGCUCAGCCUACUCAACUUGAAGAGGACACGGAUGAAGACCUUUAUGAUAAUCCACUUCCACUUAAUGAAAGUUAAUAUAUUUUCUCUUCCUUGUGAUUUUCUUAUUAAAAUUUUCUUUUCUCUAGCUUACUUUACUGUAAGAAUACAGUAUAUAAUACAUCUAACACAAAAUAUGUGUUAAUCAGCUGUUUAUGUUAUCAGUAAGGCUUCCAGUCAACAGUAGGCUAUUAGUAAAGUGUUUGGGGAGUCGAAAGUUACACUCAGAUUUUUGACUGCAAGGGUGUCAGCACCUCUGACCCUUGUGUUGUUCAAGAGUCAACUUUUUUUUUUAAUCAGCCUACUUUCCUAUCUGGAUUUAUGUGUAGAGUAUAUGGAUUAAAUUAAAUAUUUAUAUUUUACUGUAUACAUUUGACUUACAUUAUCUUGAUUUGGUGGUUGAGUGAUCAUUAUAAAAUUGCUGGAAUUCAUUUCCUGUAAGAAUAAAGUAAUUAGCAGUUGGGCAUAAUGGAAAUGGCAUGGGACUGGGAGUUAUAAAACCUGAAUGAUAUAGGCCACACUUAUGUGCUUGUGUAACUAAAUAAAUAUCUGUUUGACUUUGGGCA
rnacentral:lncRNA from 10 species